rnacentral:rRNA from 1 species
AACGGCCGUACCACGCUGAAUAUACCGGUUCUCGUUAGAUCACCGAAGUCAAGCAUCAUUGGGCGCGGUCAGUACUUGGGUGGGUGACCACCUGGGAACACUGCGUGCCGUU